UACGUAGGGUGCGAGCGUUAAUCGGAAUUACUGGGCGUAAAGCGUGCGCAGGCGGUUUUGUAAGUCAGAUGUGAAAUCCCCGGGCUUAACCUGGGAACUGCGUUUGAAACUACAAGGCUAGAGUGUGGCAGAGGGGGGUGGAAUUCCACGUGUAGCAGUGAAAUGCGUAGAGAUGUGGAGGAAUACCGAUGGCGAAGGCAGCCCCCUGGGAUGACACUGACGCUCAUGCACGAAAGCGUGGGGAGCAAACAGG
rnacentral:rRNA from 1 species